AGUGGAGCCAAACAUUCACCUGCAUUUCAAUAUGAUCAGAUUUACACACACACACACACACACUCUUAAAGUUAGCGAUUUAUGCUAUGAGAAUGAGAAUAUUUUAGACUUGAGGAAACUCAAAUUUAAUAAAACCUGUAAGAUGGCUGGCUAUGACUUUAUGUAAGCUGAAUAAACAUAUCUUCAUUCAGACUGAUACUUCUGCCUUUCUUCUUUGAGUCUCUAAUCAUCCAAAGCCAACUUUUCAGUUCCUGAAUGCUACAAAUUAUCUUCUAUGAAAGUCAUUGUUUUGUCUAUGAAGCUUAUCAUAACUUCAGGGAAUUUCACAUUUGCAUUUCUGAUGGACUACAGUCUAAGGUGUUAGAAAAUUGGUUUCAGCUUUCCCCACCUUUUUUUUUCCACUGUGAAGCAGCUCAUUACAAAAUAGACACAUUUCUAAAUCAAAUACUUGAGUUAUUAUUGAUGCAUGUAGAGAAUAGAGAUGAUUUGGUUAAGAAAUGCCUAAAAGUUACUUUCUUGUUCCCAUGAUUUUCUAGUUGAUUGAAUGAUUUAUAUGCUCAAUUCCAAAUUUAAAUGUAUGGUUUUUAAUCAUCAUGAUAUAGUUAGUGGAAGGCUUUUAACCUUUACAUUUAAGAAGCCCUUAGUACAACUCAAGCUUAUUGACUUCUAAAGCUUAACAUACAAUAUUUUUAAAUGAUUCAAGUCUAUACAUUUUAUAGGUCUAUAGUUUGAGCAAUAGUAGAAGAAUGUUUAAAGAGCCACUUGUUUUCCAAUUACUGUAGUCAUGGCUCCAAGAUAGGCAUGAAUCCCCACCCUAAAAACAAAACAUGAAAAAUUGGCAUACUUUGAGUAGACUACCUCUGUAAAGUAUUAAAAUCUCCAAACACAAAGCGACUCUAAGACUCAGUAUAAUUCAUUUAUUCGAUGGCACUAUAAUGGGAUUUCUUACACAAUGAGAAGCAAGCAAAUAUUAUCUUCUUUAAGUUCUUAAAUGUUUUAUUUAGUAUCCCUAAAUUAGGAAGGGAAACUAAACAUUCACAUAAUCAAAUAUAUAGGAGGGAUCUGUAUAUUCCGUAUUUUUUGAAGUUUUUUCUACUGGCAGAUAGCAUCUCAUUUUGCUGUGACGGGCAUUAAGACUGUGAUUUUGAGAUACGGUCAACCAAAACUUCAUGCAACUAAUUCCAGGGUUUAUAGCAGAAAAGAAAUUGUUGUGUACCUCUCAUUACAACUCUUAACUAUUUUUAAGGUAGCUUAUAUGGUUGACUUAGGGAAAAGGAUGAAGAUCCAGAAGAAAAAUAGUGAGACUUCAGGUGAUAGAGAAAAAGAGUUACAAAAUGUUCUAAAAGGAUAAAGCCCAAAGGCUGUAGAGCAACACAGUAAUAUUAAAUCCUGGAUUAAAGUGAAAUGAUUUAGGAGACUUUAUAAGACAUAUCUGCAAAGCAAUGCCUUUAGAAAUAUUUAUUUAGUGAGCCUAAUUAUGUAAAAUAGUGAGAAUUGGUGACACAGUACAAUAUUAUCUCUUCAGAUAUAUAUUUAACAAAAUUAGGGAGUUUUGAGUUCGAGCAUUUAUCAUCCUACUAAAGCCUUUAGCACAUAGUUAAUUCCAUGGCAUGUAUUAUCCUGUCUUCCAGAGACAAGUACAAUGGGAUUAAGGAGGAUGAAUGGACUGUCUCACUUAGCCUGGGAGAUUCAGGUGAAGUUUGUGCACAGACUUGAAAGAAAUGCAGAAUUUCCUAGGGUAGGCAGGAGAUGGGGCUUGCGGUGAGGGAAGUAAAUUUCAGAAAAAAUAUCAUGUGCAAAAAAGGUACACUGGUAUGAGACAGCAUGGUGUCUUUAAAAACUGUAGAGCAGUAUUCCGAUAGCAUUUAGUUUAACUCCAUCAUUAUAUUUUUAAGCUAUUUUUUGUACUAUACUUCUAAAACAUGUUUCUAUCCUAAGCGAACUUACACAAACACCAUAACAAGGCAAAAUUUGGCGCUAAAGUAUAAGCCAUAACAUUACAAAGGCAACGCAUACAGGAGAUUUGAUAUAAGAGUGUUUUGUACAUAUUUCAAUUAUUAGCACAGGGUUAGAUAUAAUUCAUCACUCAAAACUGAUUGUUUUACUUGUACAGAAGCCAGUAUGACUGAAGCUCUCUUUUCAGUCAAUUAAUGUCCACUUGCCUGCCAGUUUUUACCGUACAUACCUGUGCCCUCCAUGAAGCUAAUUCCCCAACUGUUUAGGAAAUUCAAAUGGAACUCCUAAAUAGUUCACACACAGCUUUUGUUAAUAAAUUACCCAACAUAUUUCAACCAGGUCAGGCUUCACAGCUAUACAUUUUUUAAAAAGUGUAAAUUAACUCUUGACAAGGGAAAUUCAAAACCAUUCAAAGGCAAAGCCUGUGAAUGAGACAAAGGAUGAAAGGAAAAUAGAUGAAGUAAUGCAAUAGCCAGCUGAGGAGGAAAGGAUGCCAAGUAGCUGUGAUACAACAGCAUGAAGCAAAGUGACUUCAUUAAUACUCUGCAAAGUACCAGAAUGCUGCACAAGACAACACUUCGUUUCCAAACCAAACACAACCAGAGUUUACCACUAUUGAUUUUAAGUAGCAGCUGCCUAAUUGCUAGAAAGCAGAUACUUGAGCAGUUGUUGAGAUAUGCAAAUGCAAAUAAGCAUUGUCACAAAUAUAUCUGUAUCACAGUGAGUAUGGCUUUUGGUUUAGUUAGUUACACAAUGAUUGUGAUAUUUAGCCAUCAGAGUAAUUGAACUUUAUAAAGUAAUCAGCAGUAGCAAACAGGUAUAUAAAUAGCAGUUACUUAGAUGAUAGUCAAAUCACAAUUAAAAAAUAUAUAAAGAACUUUAUUACUGUGCUUUUAUUUCCUAAUUUUAAAAACAUUUUAAUCUAUUCCAACAAUAAUUUACUUUAAAAUGAUAAUCUUUGUCACAAGAAUGUUUAUUCUAUGAAUAUUUACUCAGCAUCUUCCAUGUUAAGUGUUUAUGAUGCAAAAAACAAAAAUUUUCCUACAGUUAUUUCUGUGUUGCUGACGUUAAAAGAAUUCAUAGAAUAAACAGCUUAGGGAAAAAUGAUAAAUGUGUAAUCACACAACUCCUUAGCAUUGUUAAAUAUGUAUCUGAAGAGACCAUAUUAUAUUAUUCAACUCCCUCAAAUUUAACAAUCUAAAAUAGUGAUAUAUUUUGGCUGGUGAAAAUUUUAGACUUGACAUUCUACUGUGGAUUAUCAAUUUCAAAGAAUUACAUUGCCAAGAAUAUGCUACAAAUAAUGUUCAUGUUAUACUGAACCUAAUCUAGUUUUGCCUCCACAAGUUCAGAAGAUACUUCCAAUCCUUUGUCAGCAAAAGCAUCCAUUUUAAUUGAGCAUUCUGUUCCAUUUACUGUAUAUUUAAGUUGUUGUUAUUACAUAGCAGGAACUGUACUAGGAGAAGGAGCCAGAAAGGUGGUGACAUACUUUUCCUUUCAUGGGGAAACAGUCUAAUGGAGAGAAGGACAAGUAAGAAACCACAAAGUGUAUUUUGGUAAGUGUUUUGAGAGGAGCUCUAGAGGCUCAAAGGAGGAGUUGUUGGUUGGGUCCCCUGAGAAAGCAGGCCUUGAAAUAAGGACUUGAAUAGAAUUAGUUUAUUUGGGAAAUGAUUACAGGGAACACUAGUAGGGAGUGAGGGAGCAAGACAGGAAAGAGAUAGAGUCAAUUAAAGGCGCGUUGUCCAGCAAGUUCCCACCUGGCUGGCUGAAGCCUAAUCCAACUGGGGAAGUUUGGGAAAUGGUGUAAGACACAGUCUCAAAUUUAUCACACCUAAGGGAGAGGGAUUUGGAGUAUUUAUAACUGCCAGCAGUCCUUGGUUGCAGUCUAUUCAGAAAGGUAUUAAUUCUCUUACGCUUAUGAUUUGCAAAGGAAAAGAAAGUCCUCAGACCAAAACAAUAACAGCAACAACCAAAAACUGUUUUCAUUUGGAAGGAGGACCAAAAGGAAGGAAUAAGGGUCAGGCACUGACUCUACAGGUACUCACUGAUCUCUUUGUUAUGACUAUGGAGUGUUCUUUACUUUAUUCCCACAUUUUUUCACUGCACUGGGACCUGCAUUUUUUUUUCUGUUUUGUCAUUUGUCACGUUUGACUUUCUACUUUUCCUUAGUUAGGUCGUGAGACCAAUCACAGAAAUUAUUUAUUUAUACAUUUUCAAAAUGUCUUUUCCUCUCCUACCCUUCUUCAUGCUAUUUCAAAAAUUACACCACUGGAUACAUUUAAAUGUUCUUCCUGUUUUGCAUCUAAACCCAGCAGUGAACUAUCACUAGAGAAAAACACCUGACUUCAGUGAACACCUGGUCUCAGAUAAAUUCAUGACCACAGACCUCAAGUAGGUGCUGAGCACAGCCCUGCCAUCCUCUUGCUACCCCCAUCCUCCACUCCCAAACUUGAUUAUUUCAUAAUGGCUCCAUGGUCAAAGUUUGAUAACCAUGCCUCAGCUGAUAGUCUUGCCUCCUAUUUCACUGAGGAAAUGGAUGCUGUCAUAAAACAAAAUACUUCAUUUUAUCACUAACAAUUCUACCUAAUUAUCAUUAUCUAUGCCCAUGAACUCCAUUUUCCACCUGUUACAACUGAUGAACUUCAUUGCUAUGGCCAAAACUUCCAAUGAUACACUGGAUCUCAUCCCUUUUUUUGUCAACUCAAGAACUUUAUUCCUACAGUUAUCCAUCUUUCCUAAAACAUAUAUCUCUAUAUCUGUAGGAUUAGUUUCAUCAGCAUUUGAACAUACUCUAGGAAGUACCACAGUAAUGUGAGCUUUAGUAAUUAAAUACCAAACUAAAUAGCAUUUCUAAGCCUCAGUUACUUCAUCUAUCAUAAAGAAUAAUAAAAUCUACCUUUUUGGAUUAUUGUUAGCAUUAAAUAAAAUGAAGCAUAAAAAGCUCCCAAAAUAUAUGACAUUGGUUAAUAAUUUAUUAUUAAUAUUCUAUUACAUAGCUAAAUAUAACAAAGCUAAAAUAUUGUCUUCUCUCAAGCAUAUCUUGAUUUGUACAUUCAUUCUGGAACAGAUACUCAGACUCAAAGCUCACUGGAGAGCAGAAUGAGUAUUCCAAAAAUGGCCAUCAUAUGUCUGGACCCACAUUCUCUUCUAGAACAUUGCCCCUACUCCAUCAAGAAGUUGAGUGUAUAUACUUCUCUCUGAACCUGGGUUGCCUCUCAUAUCUCCUCAUCAUAUAUACCUCUUCAAAUUCAAUCGAGAUUUCAAUUCUUCUCACUUCUCCCCAACCUUACUUUGAUCUCCUGGUAAUUUUAGAGUAAUUGAGAAUAUUUUCUAACAUACGUGUCAAUAUAAUGAAGGAGCUGGGACCUAAAUGAAGAAGCGACAGAAUUUACAGUGGCUUUGAAUGCUGGUUCCUGAAUGGAUUUGCUUGACCGCAAUUCAAUCUUUUUUGUGGCUCAAGGCUCACUCACCUCUAAAAGUCUCGUUCUGUCAACCAGGCUGGAGUGCAGUGGCACGAUCUCGGCUCGCUGUAACCUCCACCUCCCGGGCUCAAGCAAUUCUCCUGCCUCAGCCUCCUGAGUAGCUGGGAUUCCAGACCAUUGGAGGAGAAGAUUAUCUCAGAAGAAGAACAAUGCUGCUGAAUAAGAACAGGUGAUUUGCUUCCAUCAGUUGCUCAGCCUUGGGAACGUGACUCACGGUGGUGUGAGGACAAAGCAGGUACCUGCCCGCCAGCCAGAUUAGCUGAGGAAAAUACACUUCAGGUAUGUAAGCUUAUGCCUUCACAUCUGAAAUGUCCUGUACUAACAUAUACACCCUCAAACUUUCCAACACUUAUACUAUCACUGUGUCAUUUUUUCCUGGUUCACCAACUGCAUACUGGACACAGUGCUGCACAUGCUAUUGGGUAUUUUUCCUGCUUUAGAGAUUAUGUUCAUUUGGUUCUAAGGAUAAUUGCAAGAAUAUUGUUGUGCUAUAAGUAAAUAAAUGCUAUGUAUUUAUAAAUUAUCUGUGUUAAAAUUAUACUAUUUCUAUUGUUAGCACACACAGUAUUAAGUCAUGUGGCCCAAAUCUCAUAUUUCAUAGCAUAUUAUGGUUUUAUUAGGAUACAGUAAAUUAAUAUUUCAGUGAGAAAGUAUUUGGAAGUACCCAUAAGCCUUAUCAACAGCUCAUCCCAAUGUUUCCCUUCAAACAGCCACGUGGAAUUUGUGUAAAUGAGUCUAAAUGAAUGAUAAGGACAAUAUGAUGUUUGAGUUAAAAUAUCUUUUGAAACUGAAAAUGAGCAGCUAGCCAAAAAAAACUGUCACUUUAAAAAGAUCAGGAAAAAGUCUUAAUUCUGCCAUUGUGCAAUGUAUAGCAUGUAACUAAGAACAAUAUCUAAGGACAACAAAUAUAAAUAUUGAAGGAAGUUGAGUAAUAUUUAAUUAGAUUAUACUAUAUUUGGUCUAGGAAUAAUAAACCUGUAAAAUUAUCUACACUAUGAAACUAAGCUCUGUAUUAUAACAUAUAAAUGAGUUCUCUGAUCUUUUAAAAUAUGUAUUUCUAACAACCUUGUAAAUGAUUAAUAUUUCAAAAUACUGCUACUACUGCUGCUACUACUAGUAAUAACAACAAUUUUGAAUAGCCUUGAAUGUCUUAAAAGUUGUAAAAUAUAAUUUUAUUCAUGAUGAUUAAGUUCCAUGUGAAUAAGAGAAAUAAAAUGACUACAAAUAUUUAACCAAAAAUAAAAGAACAGAGGGUUUGCCAAAAGAGACCAAUUUACUUAUUAAAUAGAAUGACCAUACAUUACAGUUUCCUGGAAUGAAACACUUUUAUAACUAUUGUCCUGAUGGCCAAUCCAGUUUAGCAUUUUGUCCUUGAUUGCUUUACCUUUCAACAAAGUAUUAUUAUCAAUGUUAUGAUUAUUGUUAUCAUUAAUGAAAAUAAGCCAGAUGGACUUUUACAACCUCUACUUCAUACUCCCAAUCUUUGUUAUAAUCAUGUCUAAGUAGCAUGAGACAAAUCCAGGGAAUGCAGUUCUCACCUUAAAUGGGAGUUAAUCUUAAAGAAGACCAGCAGUAAUAACCUAUCUCUUCCCAUUUCAGACUCAAUGUAACCAAUACCUGCCUUUCAAGGAAAACUCAUAUGGGGCUCACUGAUGAAACAAAGCGAGUUUGGAAAAAAAGAUUCGACACAGUCAAUUCUUUGUACUCUUCGGUGAUGGUAGCUGCCUUAGUGGAAAAUGUGGGAAAUUACAGAUUGGGGUAGGUGAAUUGAAGAUAAAAUUAUUUAUUUUUGUUGUUAUAAAUACAAAUUUUGAUAUAAUAUAGCAUCAUGUGUAAAACAAUUUUCCUAACUAACUUAAGAAAUAAGUGGAACAGAAAUAUUUGAAAUGUGGUGGUGUACAAGGGAGUGAGCUUGAAGAAAAGAGGGUCCCAAAAAUUCACGUUUUACACCAAGAGAAAUAAAACCGUAGUAGUCACAAUUUAUGAAUAUUUUUACACUUGUAUAUAUAUACUUGUGUAUUUGUGUGUAUAUGUAUUUGCAACUGAAUUAUAAACUUUAAUGAUUAAGCUGAUUUGAAAUAAUUUUAGGAAAUACUUUAGUAUGGCAAUACAUACUUGGUCUUUUUGUUGCCCAUAAUCAGUUAGAUUUGAGAAAUAAUUAACCUUUGAAUAACCUCUUUGCAAAUUUACUUAGUUAUCCUAGAAAAGUAUUAAAUAUUUUGUAAAUGAGUCCUGACAUUUCUGAUUGUAUGUUUUUCAAAAUUGUUGGAAAUCUUUAAACAAAAUCCUGGAGCAUCCAAAUUUCAACUACUAAAGAUUAUAAUUUUUUGAGCACCCGUAUUUCAAAUAUGAAAGCUUUAGGCAAAUUGCAUUUAUUGAAAAUAAAGCUUUCAUACAGGAAGAUAUUGAUAGCUCUUAAAAAGCAAGGGAUACAUUGAAUUGAUUAGAUGAUAAGUGGGCAAAUGGUAUGGAGGAUGUAAUUUUAACAUUCUCUAAGAGCAUAUUGAAAUGUAUUAACCUUUAGGAAGAAUUUUGAUGAGCCCCUAUUUUUCAGUAAAUUUCUUUUUAAACUUGUAUUACAUUUUAUUUUGUCUCUAUUUUUUGUUAUUAUUAUUAUACUUUAAAGUUCUGGGGCACAUGUGCAGAAUGUUCAGGUUUGUUACAUAGGUAUACAUGUGCCAUAGUGGUUUGCUGCACCCAUCGACCCAUCAUUUACAUUAGGUAUUUCUCCUAAUGCUAUCCCUCCCCUAGCCUCCCACCCACCAACAGGCCCAGGUGUGUGAUAUUUCCCUCCCUGUGUCCAUGUGUUCUCAUUGCUCAACUCCCACUUAUGAGUGAGAACAUGCGGUGUUUGGUUUUCUGUUCUUGUGAUAAUUGGCUGAGAAUGACAGUGUCCAGCGUCAUCCAUGUUCCUGCAAAAUACAUGAACUCAUCCUUUUCUAUGGCUGCAUAGUAUUCCAUGGUGUAUAUUGCCACAUUUUCUUUAUCCAGUCUAUCAUUGAUGGGCAUUUGGGUUGCCUCCAAGUCUUUGCUAUUGUGAACAGUGCUGCAAUAAACAUACAUGUGCAUGUGUCUUUAUAGCAGCAUGAUUUAUAAUCCUUUGGGUAAAUACCCAGUAAUGGGAUUGCUGGGUCAAAUGGUAUUUCCAGUUCUAGAUCCUUGAGGAAUCACCACACUGUUUUCCACAAUGGUUGAACUAAUUUAUAUUACGUACCAUUAUAGAAUGAAAAUGAAGUCAAUGAUUUGAUGGUAAAGAGCUGCAUAUAAUAUGACUAAUACUAAAAUAAUAAAUAAUUUUAUAAGAACUGAGGUAUAGGCCCACCAGCAUAAUCAAUCUAAUUAUAACUAUUUCAAAAAGUCUAUUAUUCUAAUUAUUCAACUAUCUGCAUUUACUAUCAAAAAUGCUUCAGCUUGAGAAUAAAUGAUAUGAUCAUCCCAGUUUUGAUCAAGUAACUAUUGGUGGACAAUUUUGUGCAACUAGAUCCUAAAAUAAUAAAAGCCUCUUUUCUUCAUCAUGAUAGAAAUAAAAAUUCCUCUUUCCAAGUGUCUCUUUAUGCUCAUCCUACAGGAAAUUCAAUUAAAGAUAUUAUACAAUACUGGAUGUUAAGGCUCUCAAUCAAAUGUUGCCAUUUAUUUCAUUAAAUUGUCUUCGUAACAGGCUAAUUAAAUUAUUGCCCAGUUUAGAAUGUAAUUUCUAUAGCUUAUACAACCAAACUUAAUAUCCUUAAUAAUUCAAAAACAGCUAUAUUUUUAUAAUUGAAAAUUGUUUCUGUAUGUUGAAGAUUACAGAUUUGCAAAUGUUCUGGCAAGUGUGAGCCUCUUUGAAAGUAGAUCAUAUCCUUAAAUGAACAGCAAAUAAAUCACAGCCACAAAAUUGCGUAUAUUGCAUUUUGCAACUGAUAGCCUCUUAGCUGCUCAGACUGUUAUUUAAAUAAAAUGAAUAAUUAGAGCAGAAAACUGAAGAGAAGGUCUUAUUUUUAUCUCUGUACUCAAUAGAAUGUUUUCAAGACAAAAAUUAGUAAGGAGCAUGCUUGCUCAAUUUCUUUAACUUUAAAUCAAUGUUUACUCUCUGAACACUUAUAUUGUAAAUGUUAAGUAGAGGCUUAGAAACUGAUAAUACUAAUAAUAAAAAAUGAAAAAUUGAGUAGGCUAUCCAGUUAUUUGCCAAUGUUUAAAAGCUAUUUGGCAUAUUAUUGGCACAAUUUAUCUGACAUAACUCAGGUGCUUAAUUUCAUUAAUUUCAAGAUAGUCAAAACAUUUGGCAUAAGAAGAUUAAAGGAAACUCAAAAUAUAAACAGAAUUAAAAUAACAUCAUAAAAAUAGUAGUUGCCGAAAUAAUGAAAAAAGUGUUAAUAGCAAUAAAUUAAGGCACACAUCAAUCAAUAUGAAAACAUACUAUAAAUGAUGUGAACAAAAGAUACAAGUUAAAGAGGCAAAUAGUCAAUAAAUAUGCGAAAAAUUAAACUCACAAAUAAAUAAAUGCAAAUUAAAGUAUAAGCAUAAUGAAAUUUUUGCUCUCCAAAUUAACAAAUAAUUUAUUAUCCCAUUUCUCUCUGUGGACAAGAAUAUGAAAAAGAUAUUCUGAUAACCUCCUGGUGAGGCAGCAAUUUAGUAUAAUUUUUUGAAAAGUAAUUUAAGGCCAGGCGCGGUGGCUCAUGCCUGUAAUCCCAGCACUUUGGGAGGCCGAGGUGGGCGGAUCACGAGGUCAGGAGAUCGAGACCAUCCUGGCUAACAUGGUGAAACCCCGUCUUUACUAAAAAAAAAAAAAAAAAAUUAGCCGUGCGUGGUGGCAGGUGCCUGUAGUCCCAGCUACUUGGGAGGCUGAGGCAGGAGAAUGGCAUGAACCUGGGAGGCGGAGCUUGCAGUGAGCAGAGAUCGCACUACUGUACCCCAGCCUGGGUGACAGUGCAACACUCCAUCUCAAAAAAAAAA